AAGUGAGAUUCAGAGUGCAGCACUUUCUUUCGUAAAGCUCAGUCUGGAAAGUAACAAGGGACGCGGGUGUAGCUGAUGGAUCCUCCUCUGCUGCAAGCAAAGUUAUAUAAUAACGGGCAGGCAUGUACGUACCCUCUCUAUUGUAUUUCUCUAUUUCGUGAAGCUGCAGAUUGGUCCCCUCUAAAACAUUGUAGCGGUGAAGGCCGACCUUUGCAUAAAGCUGCACUACAAGGAGACAAUCUUUCCCUCCAGAGAACUCAUGCAUUCCCCAAUCACGAUGAUCCCUCAGUUCACCCAUAUCGAACCCCUACGAGGAUUCAAUUUCUACUCGUCGGAAAAGCCCCAAGUGUACCACUGCACAAAAUAUGGUGUUACUGAGCGGGUGUAUUGAAUAUGGAACAUACAACCUUAUUGGUCGAAACAAAAAAAUGACGUAUAUUACGAUAAAAUUGCAGAUUAUUGUAAUGAGCUAAAUUUGCAGAUUAUUGUAAUGAGCAUUGUUCAUUUGAUCCUUCGCGUGAUUUAAUAUCUUGCAAAAAUCAUUUCAACUACAUAAACAAAAUAUUGGAAAAAUGGAUCGAUGCUUAUGAUAAAGCUGAGCGGGGGGCAACAUGUUAAACCAUUUUGAUAGUCAAAUUUGUCACAUGAAUAAAAACAAUCGAACUCCAAACUUGUACACUUGCACAUGCUCUUAUGAAAUGAAACGCUAAAUCUUCUUAUCCAUAGAGUCGCAUUACAUAAGUAACUUCAUAACAGAUGUUUCCUCUUCAAGAGGUUCCUAAAUACAUA